AAGUCGUAACAAGGUUUCCGUAGGUGAACCUGCGGAAGGAUCAUUAAUGAUUUGGCGAACCUAACGUUAGUUAGGUUUUGCGAUCACUUAUUUAAAACCCAACUCUUAAAUGUAUAAUUAUGUAUUUCUUGAUAAGAAAAAUGAUCACUUUCAACAACGGAUCUCUUGGCUCUC
rnacentral:misc_RNA from 1 species